rfam:Schistosoma curassoni strain Dakar, Senegal genome assembly, scaffold: SCTD_contig0002131
AAACCGGCCCUUUUCAGGGCCACCACAACUUGGUUCGACUUGCUUU